rnacentral:rRNA from 1 species
AUUGAACGCUGGCGGCAUGCCUUACACAUGCAAGUCGAACGGUAACGGGCCUUCGGGUGCCGACGAGUGGCGAACGGGUGCGUAAUACAUCGGAACGUGCCCGAUCGUGGGGGAUAACGAGGCGAAAGCUUUGCUAAUACCGCAUACGAUCUACGGAUGAAAGCAGGGGACCGCAAGGCCUUGCGCGGACGGAGCGGCCGAUGGCAGAUUAGGUAGUUGGUGGGAUAAAAGCUUACCAAGCCGACGAUCUGUAGCUGGUCUGAGAGGAUGAUCAGCCACACUGGGACUGAGACACGGCCCAGACUCCUACGGGAGGCAGCAGUGGGGAAUUUUGGACAAUGGGCGCAAGCCUGAUCCAGCCAUGCCGCGUGCAGGAUGAAGGCCUUCGGGUUGUAAACUGCUUUUGUACGGAACGAAAAGCCUUCUUUUAAUACAGGAGGGUCAUGACGGUACCGUAAGGAUAAGCACCGGCUAACUACGU